rnacentral:tRNA from 1 species
GGAUUGUGGCUCAGUGGUAGAGCGCUCGCCUAGCACUGGCGGGACCCGGGGUUCAAUCCUCAGCACCA